CAGGAUAUCAAUAAUAUCUAUUCCCAUUUUGUCUUUUGCCUCAGCAAACAUCAGAAAUCAAAAAAGUAAAGUUGUAAUAUUUUGUGGGAGCGGCAGAAACCAAGAUGGAAGUCCCCAAGACUGUUUUUAUUUUGGUGGCCAUGAUCAUUUCAGCAGCCGCACAAUUCCCGGAUUGCAACGACCAUCCCCUCAACGAAUGGUUCACAACUGAAUCUUGUGAAAAAUGCAAAUGUAAUACAGGCGGUGGAAUUGCGUGCAAACCUCUCUGCCCGUUAAUGCGUUGCCCUCUAGGGCAAAAGCUGGAAACGUAUGGAGUCGAGCCAAUGGGAGGAGGUUGCCACUGUGAACUCAAAAGAUGUGUUCCAGUCCGGAAUUAGCAGCUGCAAAAUGCUUCCAGUAUUGAUGUUAUGCCUGUUAGAACAGGGAAAAAAAACCUAGUGAUAGGGGACUCUUGGAAAAGAUAACUGAAUAAAGAGAGAAAG